UACGUAGGGUGCAAGCGUUGUCCGGAAUUAUUGGGCGUAAAGGGUGCGUAGGCGGUUUGAUAAGUCAUCUGUGAAAUCUCUGGGCUCAACCCAGAGUCUGCAGGCGAAACUGUCGGGCUUGAGUAUGGGAGAGGUGAGUGGAAUUUCCGGUGUAGCGGUGAAAUGCGUAGAUAUCGGAAGGAACACCUGUGGCGAAAGCGGCUCACUGGACCAUUACUGACGCUGAUGCACGAAAGCUAGGGGAGCAAACAGG
rnacentral:rRNA from 1 species